rnacentral:rRNA from 1 species
GAUUAACGCUGGCGGCGUGCCUAACACAUGCAAGUCGAACGAGGUAGUAAUACCUAGUGGCAGACGGGUGAGUAACGCGUGGUCAACCUAUCCUCAAGUGGGGGAUAACCAGCCGAAAGGUUGGCUAAUACCGCAUAGGUGGGUCGGGGGGCGAUCCCCUCGGUCAUAAAAGGAAGCGAUUCGCUCGAGGACGGGACCGCGUCCCAUUAGCUAGUUGGUGGGGUAACGGCCUACCAAGGCACCGAUGGGAGCUGGUUUGAGAAAGCGACCAGCCACACUGGGACUGAGACACGGCCCAGACUCCUACGGGAGGCAGCAGUGAGGAAUUUUCCGCAAUGGGCGCAAGCCUGACGGA